rnacentral:misc_RNA from 1 species
UGUUGCGCUUCCUUCGCUGAAACCUCCUCCCCCUCGCUCCCCGCUCUCUCUUCUUCCCUUGUCGAUCUCCGUCGUAGCUCCGAAUCAAGUUACGCACACGGGCACUUUCGCUUCUCCUCGUUCUUUAUUCAAUCCUCCUUUCCCCGGCUCUCGUUUUAUUCCUCCCUUUUCCCCGCUAUCGCCAUCAUGCGGACCGGCACCAACGCGAACUGCGAGCCCUUGACGGAGAUCAGCUCCCUCCGCACCUCUCGCCGCCCAUCCUCGCUGCAUCGCCGCAAGUCGAAGAUCGGUGGCCGCACGGUUCUCUACAUCCCCUGCCGGGAGCGCGUGCUCAUCGCCCUCGCCGCGACGAUGCAGGUGAUCACCUUCGUGCUGCUCAUCGCCGCCGCCGCCACGGAUGUCUUCAUGGUCGACGGCACCAGGGCCAUCAGGAUCGGCGCCGACCUGAAGGCCGUGAGCGCCGGCCUUGGUGUGUCGGUCACCGAGGGCUCGAAGCCGUUCUGCUACUCGCUGUGGGGUGCGCGCAAGUGCGGCACUUCCACCUUUCACACAGAGAAGUGGUACACGGAGCAUGGUAUCAAGAACAAGGGCUUCCCGUCGUCGGUGACCUACACCAUGAUGCUCGGUGCGGCCGCGUUCGCCGUACUGGCUUCAUGCUACUCCUUCAUCAACAUCAUCGGCAUCACCAUCGUUGUGUGCAUGCAGGACUUCACGGCCGUGCUGUGCGCGUGGUCCUUCUCCGUGUGGAUCAUCAUCCUCAUCUCCUGGGCCCUCAGCGUUGGUGUGUACGCUCGCAGCAUGGAAACCAUGAACAGCACCAUCGUCGGCCGCAAGGUGCGCGUGAAGGACUACUGCGACUUCUCUUCGUCCUUCGCCCUGAUCAUGACCGCCUUCGCCCUGCAAGGCUUCCAGUUCACCUUCACCGCGGUGUACACGCGCAUGUUCGAGAAUCGCAUGAAGUCGCUGGUGGCUGAGCAGAAGCAGAUCAACAGGGAGCUCUCGCAGGAGUAAGCGAGAGCUACGGGCACACAGAGAGAGAGACGAGCAGCAUGUUCAGCGCUUUUUAUUUUUUUUUGGCAAGGACUUGAGAAGGGACGGAAAGAAAGGUGGGGCAAUGCCUCGCGCUAGAAGCCCGGCUUGCCCUCGCAGCUUUCAACGUCGGGCGUGAGUUGGGGUCCCUGUCUUCGCCUACGCACGACAGGUACUCUGUUUUUGUUCUCCCCUCGGGCACCUGUGUCUGUCCUCUGUCUCCCCUUUUUCCCUCUUGUAGCUCAAUGACCCGCCAAAAGCGUCUUCCUCCUUCUUUGCCUGUCUGUGAUGUUCGCUUGUCUCCACCUCUCUCUCCUUGCAUCGCUGCUCCUGUAUUUCUUUCUUGUCCCUUUCCGCUUCUUAUAACACUCUGAACCUCGCAGCCGCAAUGUCUGUUGUGUCCCCCCCCCCCAGAAGUCUCUUGUUUUUGCCUUAGUUUGUUGGCCGCUUUCUUUUUUUUUCUUCCCCCACCUCUAUAAUCUCCCGCUCGCCUUUGUACCACAAUCACGCAGCUGCCAAGCCCCUCACCCUUUCGUGUUUUUUUUUGGUUAUUGUUUCCCGUGGUUUGUGUGAGAAUAAGAAGGGAAGAAGAGGUCCUGAGGCGCCUCACAAGCGCGUAUCCACUUCUUGUGUUGCCAAUUCGGCUCUUGAUUGGUGUUUCUUCCGUGUGGAGAUGGCCAUCAAGCUCCGCGCUCGUGAGAAAGGAGGAGAGGCGGCAUCAGCAGUACUCGAGAAGGAAGACCCCACGCAUCGCUGCGCGUGUGAGCAUGUGUUGCGUACGCUCGCUCACUCAACUCUUCUCUGUUGAACGAAAAGGGGGCCAGGCUGCCUCCAUGGUGAUCCGAACCAUCACCACUGCCGAAAAGGGGGUGCUGAUAGCAGCGCUUUUUAUUCUCACGUGUUUACGUUUUUAACUGUGUCUUCCUCUUCUGGUGUGUUUGCCUCUUGGCCUUCGCGAGUCCCAUAAAGGGGAGCGGAUGGUGAUGGUCGUAGAUGGUACCGAGGGGCGUCGACGACGAGAAGGGGAGGAUGUUCGGCGCUGUGUGUUCACUGUUUGCCCCGUAUCGCACACGCACGCGCAUUGUUUGUUGUUUGUGUACGUCCCCUCCCGAUGGCUUUCUUUUCGCUUCCCCCGUGUUUUGUGCUGUUUACCGCGAUCUUUUUCGUUUUUUGUUGUUUGUUUCGUUGUUGUUUGUUGAUGGGUUCACGUGCUACAUAAACAAAACAUGUGCGUUCAGCUGAAGCGCUGUUUUUUUUUUUUUGGGGGGGGGGUUGGUUGGUUGAUUAGUUUCUGUUUUUCCGUUUCUUGGAUCUGCAGAAAAAAAAAGGUGAGGGAGUGAGACGGAAGAGCAAAGCUGGAGCGAACGUUUCGAGUGUGUGUGUGUGUGUGUGUGGAGUGGGGGGAGGCGGGAUGUUGUGUUGGCGUUGUUGAGCUUCUCUCUCGCUCGAGUGCGGGUGAAAAGCCAGGCGUUUCCUUGUUGGGCACAGAGGGCAUGCAACGCAAAUCACGAACGACGGUCCACUUCGCAUACGGGUGUGGCGCUGCUGCCACCAUCAUCCCCACCGACUCACCACGCACGCACUGGUCACAAAAACCAUGCGACUGAUUCCUAGCACCGCGCAUGCAUGUUCCUGACGGCAGUGGUGGCAACGGCUUUGGCGCGGCGCGCGUAUGUCCUCCUCCACUGUCGUCAUCGUCGCUUUCCUUCUUGGCGGCGCACCUCCGUGUCGAGCUGCACGUGCAGGCAAUGCAUUGGGCUCCCCCGGGUGUAGGGAGAGAGACUGUGGUGCGCGCCAACGGCAGUUUGUCGGGUGAACCACCCCACCACUUCCUCCUUGCCCGUGCCCCCUCCCAUCUCCUACCACGCAG